UAUGCCAUUUGUAUGGCUCUUAAACCAUGC
rnacentral:piRNA from 1 species